GGUGGAGCGAUUUGUCUGGUUAAUUCCGAUAACGAACGAGACUCUGGCCUAUUAAAUAGACGGUAUAUUUAAAAGUAUAUCGCGCUUCUUAGAGGGACAAGCGGCGUCUAGCCGCAUGAAAUAGAGCAAUAACAGGUCUGUGAUGCCCUUAGAUGUCCGGGGCUGCACGCGCGCUACACUGAAAGAAUCAGUGGGCGUUCGAACCUAGUUCGGAAGAACCGGGUAACCCAAGUAAAUUCUUUCGUGCUUGGGAUAGGGAAUUGUAAUUAUUUCCCUUAAACGAGGAAUUCCCAGUAAAUGCGGGUCAUAAGCUCGCGUUGAU
rnacentral:rRNA from 1 species